rnacentral:rRNA from 1 species
AUUGAACGCUGGCGGCAGGCCUAACACAUGCAAGUCGAGCGGAUGAAGGGAGCUUGCUCCUGGAUUCAGCGGCGGACGGGUGAGUAAUGCCUAGGAAUCUGCCUGGUAGUGGGGGAUAACGUCCGGAAACGGGCGCUAAUACCGCAUACGUCCUGAGGGGGAAAGUGGGGGAUCUUCGGACCUCACGCUAUCAGAUGAGCCUAGGUCGGAUUAGCUAGUUGGUGGGGUAAAGGCCUACUAAGGCGACGAUCCGUAACUGGUCUGAGAGGAUGAUCAGUCACACUGGAACUGAGACACGGUCCAGACUCCUACGGGAGGCAGCAGUGGGGAAUAUUGGACAAUGGGCGAAAGCCUGAUCCAGCCAUGCCGCGUGUGUGAAGAAGGUCUUCGGAUUGUAAAGCACUUUAAGUUGGGAGGAAGGGCAGUAAGUUAAUACCUUGCUGUUUUGACGUUACCAACAGAAUAAGCACCGGCUAACUUCGUG